ACUAUUUUAAUUGAUAGAUGCUAUAUGUGUGAAGAAGAAUUAGAAACAGUCAAAUCAUCUCCUCAUUCAUUAAGUGGCAAGACAGGGUUGGGAGCUAUUCCUUCAUUUGUAUGGUAUUAGAUGGGUUAUGCCACAAAAUGUAGAAGUCUGCUGAGGACAUGGCAACAUCAAAAAGUGGCAAGAGAACAAUCUCCCUUUGUGUCUUAUGGACAAUAUGGUUGGAGAGAAACCGGAUUGCUUUUGAGGGAUA
rnacentral:lncRNA from 1 species